GCCGGGCAUGGUGGCACAUGCCUGUAGUCCCGGGUACUUGGGAGGUUGAGGCAGGAGGAUCACUUGAGCCCAGGAGGUCAGGGCUGCAAUGAGCUGUGAUCACCACUGUACUCCAACCUGGGCAACAGAGUGAGAUCCUGUUUCAA
ensembl:misc_RNA Metazoa_SRP Metazoan signal recognition particle RNA